GAUGAACGCUGGCGGCGUGCCUAAUACAUGCAAGUCGAGCGAACGGACGAGAAGCUUGCUUUUCUGAUGUUAGCGGCGGACGGGUGCGUAACACGUGGAUAACCUACCUAUAAGACUGGGAUAACUUCGGGAAACCGUGGCUAAUACCGGAUAAUAUUUUGCACCGCAUGGUUCAAAAGUGAAAGACGGUCUUUCUGUCACUUAUAGAUGGAUCCGCGCUGCAUGAGCUAGUUGGUAAGGUAACGGCUUACCAAGGCAACGAUGCAUAGCCGACCUGAGAGGGAGAUCGGCCACACGGGAACUGAGAAACGGUACAGACACCGAGGGGAGGAAGCAGUAGGGAAUCUUACGCGAUGGGCGAAAGCCUGACGGAGCAACGCCGCGGGAGGGAUGAAGGUGUUCGGAUCGUAAAACUCUGUUAUUAGGGAAGAACAAAUGUGUAAGUAACUGUGAACAUCUUGACGGUACCGAAUCAGAAAGCCACGGCUAACUACGUG
rnacentral:rRNA from 1 species